CGUGCUUAACACAUGCAAGUUGAACGAGAGGUAGUAGCAAUACUAUAGUAAAGUAGCAGACGGGUGAGUAACACGUGGGAAACUUCCAUUUAGUAAAGAAUAGCCCAGGGAAGCUUGGAUUAAUACUUUAUACGCCCUACGGGGGAAAGAUUUAUCGCUAAAUGAUGUGCCCGCGUUAGAUUAGGUAGUUGGUGGGGUAAUGGCCUACCAAGCCUACGAUCUAUAGCUGGUCUGAGAGGAUGAUCAGCCACACUGGGACUGAGACACGGCCCAGACUCCUACGGGGGGCCGCAGACGAGAAUACUCCGCAAUGGGCGCAAGCCUGACGGGGCGAUACAGCGUGGUGGAUGAAGUGCUUCGGUACGUAAACACCUUUUAUGUGGGACGAAAUUAUUGACGGUACCACAUGAAUAAGGGGCUCCUAACUCUGUGCCAGCCGCCGCCGUAA
rnacentral:rRNA from 1 species